CGGCCCGGGCGCGCUUGCUCUUGGGUAUUCCCGCUGAGGGCCGGCGGCUGGCCUGAGACGCGACCUCUGGGGAAGCCCAGGUGUCAUGGCGGACCACGGUGGCCCUCAGUUUAGGGCCCGGGGCGCAGGCAGAAGCUGAGAGAAGAAACAAGAGCACACAUACACACAUAUAUAUAUAGUGAGAUCUUCCAUCUGCUGGUUCACUCCCCAGACGGCUGUAGCUGGUCCGAUCCAAAACCAGAAACCAGAAGCUUCUUCUGGGUCUCCCAUGUGGGUGCAGGCACCCAAGCACUUGGGCCAUCUCCGUUGCUCUUCCAGGCACAUUAGCAGGGAGCUGGAUCAGAAGUAGAGCAGCUGGGACUCGAACUGGUGCCUGUAUGGGAUGCCAGCACUGCAGGUGGAUGUUUAACCCACUACACCACAGCACCAGCCCCACGUGGAGACCUGCCUUCCAAGAAACACGAAAGAAGGUUCUUCAGGCUGAAAGCGAGUGACCUCAGCUGGCUACGUGACCCCACGUGAAAAACCGGAGUGUGCGGAGAGAGGUAACCAUGCAGUUAUGGAAGGCAGUGUCGGCGCAUACUGUCUCCCCUUAACUCAGCUCAAAGACAUGAAACAAUGAGUACUCAAUACACCAUGGGCCUGUUACAUACAGAAACACAAGUAACAAGACAGGGGUGGGGUCUCCCUCUCUCUCUGUCUCUCUCUGUAAUUGUGACUUUCAAAUAAAGAAAUCUUUAAAAUAAAACAAAGUGAAACACAGAAAACCCA